GACGAACGCUGGCGGCGUGCUUAACACAUGCAAGUCGAACGCUGAAGCUUGGUGCUUGCACUGGGUGGAUGAGUGGCGAACGGGUGAGUAAUACGUGAGUAACCUGCCCUUGACUCGGGGAUAAGCCUGGGAAACUGGGUCUAAUACUGGAUAUGACAUGCCACUGCAUGGUGGUGUGUGGAAAGGGUUUUACUGGUUUUGGAUGGGCUCACGGCCUAUCAGCUUGUUGGUGGGGUAAUGGCCUACCAAGGCGACGACGGGUAGCCGGCCUGAGAGGGUGACCGGCCACACUGGGACUGAGACACGGCCCAGACUCCUACGGGAGGCAGCAGUGGGGAAUAUUGCACAAUGGGUGGAAGCCUGAUGCAGCGACGCCGCGUGAGGGAUGACGGCCUUCGGGUUGUAAACCUCUUUCAGCACGGAAGAAGCGAGAGUGACGGUACGUGCAGAAGAAGCGCCGGCUAACUACGUG
rnacentral:rRNA from 1 species